rnacentral:lncRNA from 1 species
CUGGUUGAGACCUCUGAAACCAUGAGCCUGAAAAUAAACUUAUUCUCCUUUAAUUGUUCUUGUCAGGUGUUUUGGUCAUAGCAGGGAAAAAGCUGACUAAAACACAGUCUAUGAUGCAGUUUUUAUUACUGAGCAUCAAAUCAUCUUUGCUGUUCCUGGAGUUCACUAACCAAAUCAGAGAUGGUUUAUCAAGAUCAUUCACUGACUUCCAUCCUUAUCUCUUUUUUGUUUUCAUGGAUAUCAUCAUCAAAUACUCUUUAAAAUCUGUGUUAAUGGCAAUGUUUAAAACUUUUAAAAAUAUUUGUUUUUUUUUUUUUGGUGUUUAGCUUUUUGAGUUCUUUAUAUACCCUAGUGAUUAGUGCUCUAUCUGAUGUGUGAGGGGUAAAGGUUUGUUCCCAAGAUGUAGGCUCUCUAUUAACCUCACAGAUCAUUUCUUUUGCUGAGAAGAAGCUUUGUAGUUUGAGUCCACUUAUUGAUGCCCUUCAGUAGAUGAAUGGAUAAAAAAAAAUGUGUCAUAUAUACACAAUGGAAUAUUACUCAGCAAUAAAAGAGAAUAAAAUCAUGGCAUUUGCAGGUAAAUGGAUAGAGUUAGAGAAGGUAAUGCUAAGUGAAGUUAUCCAAUCCCCAAAAAACACAAAUGCCAAAUGUUUUCUCUGAUAUAAGAAGAUUGAUUCAUAGUGGGAUAGGGAGAGGGAGCAUGGGAGAAAUAAACAAACUCUAGAUAGGGCAAAGGGGUUGAAGUGUAAGGGAGGGGCAUGGAUUAAUUAAUGAUGAUGGAAUGUGAUGAUCAUUACUAUUCAAAGUACAUGUAUGAAGACACAAAUUGUGUGAAAAUACGAUGUAUACAACCAGAGAUAUGAAAAAAUGUGCUCUAUAUAUGUAAUAAGAAUUGUAAUGCUUUCUGCUGCCUAUAAAUAAAAAAAUUACAUAAAAAAUAAAAUAAAGUAAAAUAAUUUCAUUUAAGAAAACUUUAAAAAAUAUUUCAAAUCAUACAAACAUGAUAUAACCACAUCAAACUCUAAUGGACACCCCCCAAAAAUUUUCAUAAAAUACUUUGCUACUGAAAGAGCAUCUCUAAUCAUAAUAAAAAUAAUUUGAGUUUAGCACAUUUAAAUAUUUGAGGUGAGGUAUCAAAACUUUUGUUUUUGUGAAGUGAACAGAUAUAUUAGUCCUUAAGAGUUGAGUUGGGCAGGCAGUUUAGAUAAUUUGACACUAAGAUAAUUGCCCUGGCUGUGACUUUCAUUGGUGUAAUUGUGAUUAAGAUGGUCUUAAGGAUACCAUGAGCUUGACUAAAUUUUAGACAGAUUUAUUCAUGCCUGUAGAACCCUGAAAUCCAUUUUCUUCAAGUGGUUGUUUUAGAAUACUUCAUUUUCUUCAUGCAUUUACUUUAAAACGCUUACUAAUUGACAAUUUUGUCUCUUCCCCUUUUGGGUAUAAAUCAUAAAAGCACCUUGCAAGUGUUAAAACUCAGGAAUAUCUUUCUCAAAGACCUGGGAGCCAUUUCUUUAAAAUGUAGUCAUUGUCAUUGUCGUCGUCAUCAUCAUCAUCAUCAUCAUCAUCAUCACCAUCAUUAAGGAAGAUAGAAUUUCUCUUUCCUGUCCCUGUGGGAAACCAGGAACCUAACUUCUAAAUUCCAUAGCAACAAUUUACAAACAAUAGAUGGACUUAACACUUUGACCAAACUCCCACUAACUUUCACUGGUACUUUUUUAACUAGCUCACCCCUAUUUAAAAAUAUACUUCAAUAUUUUGUUUCAAUAGAUUUGAGUUCAGUCUCUUCUUUUGCAAUAGUGCUGAAUAAAGGUACGUUGCCUGUUUAACUCCAUCCAGGGAUGUUUCUCCUUGACCAUGGCUGAAUGAUCCAUUAACCUGUUUCCACAUUCAGAGAAAAGAGUUUACUCUGGCACCUAUGAUUUCAAAAUGGAGUUUCUUGUGCUUUCCAAUAUCUGAGCAUCUAGUUAUAAGUAUUUUUUAUUCUUCCUACUCAUAUAUUAACAAUAGAAAGACUAAGAAUUCAGUUCUCAAUAAUUGUAAAUUUUGUAGUCAAUUUGACUUUCAUGGCCAGGAAUAAUCUGAGCUCUCUAGCAAAACAAUACAGUCUUGAUAUUUGUGCGAAUGAAUUCAGUUCAUGAAUACAUGCUUUCUUUUAUAAGUCAGGAAAAUAAUAAUCAAAACUGAACUACUGUUCUGACUUUC